UACGUAGGUGGCAAGCGUUGUCCGGAAUUAUUGGGCGUAAAGCGCGCGCAGGCGGUCCUUUAAGUCUGAUGUGAAAGCCCACGGCUCAACCGUGGAGGGUCAUUGGAAACUGGGGGACUUGAGUACAGAAGAGGAAAGCGGAAUUCCACGUGUAGCGGAUGAAAUGCGUAGAGAUGUGGAGGAACACCAGUGGCGAAGGCGGCUUCUGGUCUGUAACUGACGCUGAGGCGCGAAAGCGUGGGGAGCAAACAGG
rnacentral:rRNA from 1 species